GCCCAUUUAGAGCAGUGGUUAGCUCGCCGGCCUCCGGUCUUCUUUGACACAGACAGCCGGAAACCUGGGUUCGAAUCCCAGAAUGGGUG